UGUGGAGAAGCCUGUGCCUUGUCUGGAAUGAUUCAUCAGGUUGAGAAAGACACCAGGAUAGCACUCAGCCUACCGGGAGUGUUCACACCACACCUGACCCCUCUCUCCCUCUCUCUCUCUCUCUCUCUCCCUCUUUCUCUCCCCCUCCCUCCCUCGCUUGAUGCCGGGCAGGGGAGGCAACAGAGAAGGACGAUCCGAACGGUGCUCCCAUCCCCACACAACAAACGGAAUAGUGGUGGACGGGAACAUUACGCAUUUCUCAUGGAAUCUGAAGGCGUGAACUGAACUCUGCCUCACUGUUCAUAUCCUCAUUUGAACUUGGCGCAGUGUGGUAACAGCACGUAAAAUCUACGGGCGAGAGCAGCCACAGGUCACAGCUGGACUGCAGCUGGGGGAGCAUCUGGUGCCUCAGUCUGGCGAUGAUGGGGAGGGUUCCUGGCACCGUGAUUUGGUGGACAAACAUAAACAAAAAUCACAUUGCCAGGGAUUUCCACCCCUUCAUUGCUUUCCAGGUGUGUGUGUGUGAGAGAAGAGGACGCUCGCUGUUGGCAUCGGCGUGUCCUCCUCCCUGGGGCACAUGGGCACACACCCCUCGGACUCUCUUGGACGUCGGAACAAGUGGCAUGACGAGGACAAAAAAAGGUUGCACUGCUCUAAAUGAAUAUGGAGGAGGUCACCCAUUUGGCGGAGAUUUGAAAGAUACCAGGCUGAAGCUACGGCCUUAUUAACCCAAACCCAAACCCAAACUUGGGAUCUGUUAGCUGCCAAAACAUGCUUAUUUGCAUUAUAUGAGAAUUGAAUUUUACAGAUGUGAGAUUUGGGUAAAUAACACAUUUAAUCCGUAGGAGCGCGGAAUGACUGUGAAAUAGGUCUGUUCCUUCUCAGUGGUGGGGGACUUCUCACUAGAUUUACUAUUGAAUGAGCGUAAGCUAUUAUGCUGUGCAGCACAGUGUGAAGUUUAUGGAACAGGCAGCUACGAUUGUGAUGAGUGCGCAAUGUCUGCCCCUCCAUACACAAUAUUACUUUAACCAGCUCCACAUCACCACCCACAACCCAUCCACAAUCACACUCAACUGUACAGCGCACGCAGGCGAGCUGUACAUCACAGCUGGUGUAGCGCUCUCUCCUCCGUAUCUCCAUAGGUCACAACACAUCCUAUAACAUCACUUGCUAAAGGCACAGAGCUUAGCUGAUUGGUGAGCAUUGAUCCCUAAAACAUACUGUUCACAGUGGCUAAGUUCAGUGCCUGCAGUGAAAUAGUUGAUAGGAUGUUUUAAGAGGCCGUGCCGGAGAGCCGCUCGCCUCGUUGUAAAAGAAGAAGGCAGAGUUAAUCACAGGGCUGCAGGAAGCCCACUCACUGAUGUGGGCUCGGCGUCAGCGGCGGCGGCCGUGCCGCGCACAUUUCCUAUAAAGACCGAAGGAAUGCUCUGCAAAUGUCAAGCCAGUUGCGGCAUGCAGUGGGCCCGUCCCCUCCAGUCAGCGCCCAGCCUUGAACGAGGCCAUUCAUUUAUGGGGAUAAAAAAAAAUGGACACGCCCCACUUUUCCUUUUCCUGGAGUGUUUCAUGGCGUCCUCUGACUAAUGGAUCGAGCUUGAUGCGCAAGCAGCUUCACUUUUGUGAUGGAGUUGCCCAUUUCUGCUGCUCUGCGAGCCGCACAAAGACAGAAUAAACAUGCAUAUGUUUUGUAUGCACACCCUGCCUUUUCCCUGCCCAUCUCUGUCUCUGUGAAAACACCUCUGAAUCAUUUUGUUGUCAUUACCUCACCUAGUAGCAAUACCACCCUGCACUUUGGUACACGCAUCCCAUUUAAUGUGUCCGAAAGAAUUGUGCAACAGCCUGUACAAAGGGCCUUCGGUUCACUUGCCUCUGUUUUUCCCCAUCCUGAGCUCAGAGGGCUGUGCGUGAAUCCACCGUGAACCGGGUUAUGACCUUCUGUGCCUACUGAACUGGUAUCAGUGUGUCCUCAAAAUACUGGCUCAGUUCAGCAGGAACAGGAGUGCGGCCUACUGCUCCCACAUCAGUCCCACCACUCAUCAUCACUGGCCGGAGUGCCACGCGACCACUGCAAGCAGCCGCAGAAAGGUCAGGCGAGUUCAGCUAUUUGCUUGGCCGAGGGCCAGCGAGGUUCAAGUCAUAUAAUUGGCCGCUCCGAUCUGUGCAUUCCAUUUGGCGGUUCUGACCCCUAGACAUAAAGGACAGUUCUCAUAGACGCGGCCCUGAUAAGAACAUGAAUAUUUUAAAUGAAUAUUUGAUUAGGUGUGUGACGGGGACUCAGAGCUGGCUUGUGGGUUGUGAUGAAUUAUCUGCAAACACAUGCCGUUUUGCUUCUUCACAAGGCCUUUAAAGAUCACAUCAGUAUCCACUUAGUUUUAUGAGAGCACAAACAGGCGUGAUUUGAAAGACGUCUCAGACCUAGCCAUGAACUGAAGGUCUUUGUGGAAUAAUCCUUUGGUCAAUGUUUGUACAAUUGUUCUUCACACAAGAUGUCACAAUUUUCAAAAAACUGGAAUGUGUGCAAUGUGAUCUCAUGUUCUUUUACGGAAAAGAUUAUGUCAAAUUACUGUUGGUGAACUUCAGAUAAACUUUUCUUGAAUUGACUCCCA